UACGUAUGGGGCAAGCGUUGUUCGGAUUCACUGGGCGUAAAGGGCUUGUAGGUGGUAGGAUAAGUCGGAUGUGAAAUCUCCGGGCUCAACUCGGAAACUGCGUUCGAAACUGUCUUGCUAGAGUACCGGAGAGGGAGACGGAAUUCCUGGUGUAGGGGUGAAAUCUGUAGAUAUCAGGAAGAACACCGGUGGCGAAGGCGGUCUCCUGGCCGGAUACUGACACUGAGGAGCGAAAGCUAGGGGAGCAAACAGGAUUAGAUACCCCAGUA
rnacentral:rRNA from 1 species